UCUGAUCGUUGCCUUGUUCGGCCACCCGUCUGCUUGUUUUUUGCUAUUUUUGGAUUUAGCCUCGUUUGGUGGGCUCCCGGCGAAUUCUUGCAUUCCUUCUGAACUUCUACAUGACACAACAGCACUAUUGGACUACGGCAAGCUGACGUCGUCCGGUGGAGCUUCCUGCGGGUCUACUGCUGUUUACUUGGUGCCACAGCGUGGGAUGAAUGCACGAAAAGCCCGCUACUCGCAUUUAUAUAGAAUACAAUAAACACUUUCUGAUUUCACAA